GUCCUUUUGAAUUUAAUUUAAGGUUUGACCUGCCCACUGAAUUUUUGAAGGGCCGCAGUAUUUUGACUGUGCAAAGGUAGCAUAAUCAUUAGUUUUUUAAUUAAAAGCUUGUAUGAAGGGUUGGACGAAGUAAAUUCUGUCUCUAUAUAAAUUAAUUUAGAAUUUAAUUUUUAGGUUAAAAAGCUUAAAUUAAAUUAAAAGACGAGAAGACCCUAUAGAUCUUAAUAUAAAGUUUUUUAAUUUUAUUAAAGAUUAUUAUAUUUUUUAUAGGAUUUUAUAUUUUAUUGGGGUAAUAGAAAGAUUUAAAUAAUUCUUUUUAAAUUUAAACAUUGAUUUAUGAAUUUAUGAUCCAGUUUUAUUGAUUAAAAGAUUAAGUUACCUUAGGGAUAACAGCGUAAUUUUUUUAAAGAGUUCAUAUCGAUAAAAAAGUUUGCGACCUCGAUGUUGGAUUAAAAAUUAUUUUAGGUGCAGAAGCUUAAAAUUUUGGUCUGUUCGACCAUUAGAUUUUUACAUGAUCUGAGUUCAGACCGGCGUAAGCCAGGUCGGUUUCUAUCUUUAGUAAAUUUUUAUAUUUUAGUACGAAAGGACCAAAUAUUAGAUAUACUUAUAUUUAAUAAUUUUGAAUAU
rnacentral:rRNA from 1 species